rnacentral:rRNA from 1 species
GCUUUACACAUGCAAGUCGAACGGCAGCGCGGGGCAACCUGGCGGCGAGUGGCGAACGGGUGAGUAAUAUAUCGGAACGUACCCAAGAGUGGGGGAUAACGUAGCGAAAGUUACGCUAAUACCGCAUACGAUCUAAGGAUGAAAGUGGGGGAUCGCAAGACCUCAUGCUCCUGGAGCGGCCGAUAUCUGAUUAGCUAGUUGGUGAGGUAAAGGCUCACCAAGGCUACGAUCAGUAGCUGGUCUGAGAGGACGACCAGCCACACUGGAACUGAGACACGGUCCAGACUCCUACGGGAGGCAGCAGUGGGGAAUUUUGGACAAUGGGCGCAAGCCUGAUCCAGCAAUGCCGCGUGAGUGAAGAAGGCCUUCGGGUUGUAAAGCUCUUUUGUCAGGGAAGAAACGGUGGGAGCUAAUAUCUCCCACUAAUGACGGUACCUGAAGAAUAAGCACCGGCUAACUACGUGCCAGCAGCCGCGGUAAUACGUAGGGUGCAAGCGUUAAUCGGAAUUACUGGGCGUAAAGCGUGCGCAGGCGGUUUUGUAAGUCUGUCGUGAAAGCCCCGGGCUCAACCUGGGAAUUGCGAUGGAGACUGCAAGGCUUGAAUCUGGCAGAGGGGGGUAGAAUUCCACGUGUAGCAGUGAAAUGCGUAGAGAUGUGGAGGAACACCGAUGGCGAAGGCAGCCCCCUGGGUCAAGAUUGACGCUCAUGCACGAAAGCGUGGGGAGCAAAC